CAUAGACCAGGACCCGUAGGACUAACCCAUAGACCAGGACCCGUAGGACUAACCCAUAGACCAGGACCCGUAGGACUAACCCAUAGACCAGGACCCGUAGGACUAACCCAUAGACCAGGACCCGUAGGACUAACCCAUAGACCAGGACCCGUAGGACUAACCCAUAGCAAUCUGGUCAACAGUAGCGCACUAUCAAGGGAACAGAGGGCCAUUUGGGACUAAACUGCUAUAGUGUUUACCUGGCCAGUGUUGUGUUUGUACUGUAACUCAGUCAUGUAGUGUCCAGGUGUAACCUGUCUGUACUGUAACUCAGUCAUGUAGUGUCCAGGUGUAACCUGUCUGUACCGUAACUCAGUCAUGUAGUGUCCAGGUGUAACCUGUCUGUACUGUAACUCAGUCAUGUAGUGUCCAGGUGUAACCUGUCUGUACCGUAACUCAGUCAUGUAGUGUCCAGGUGUAACCUGUCUGUACUGUAACUCAGUCAUGUAGUGUCCAGGUGUAACCUGUCUGUACUGUAACUCAGUCAUGUAGUGUCCAGGUGUAACCUGUCUGUACUGUAACUCAGUCAUGUAGUGUCCAGGUGUAACCUGUCUGUACCGUAACUCAGUCAUGUAGUGUCCAGGUGUAACCUGUCUGUACUGUAACUCAGUCAUGUAGUGUCCAGGUGUAACCUGUCUGUACCGUAACUCAGUCAUGUAGUGUCCAGGUGUAACCUGUCUGUACUGUAACUCAGUCAUGUAGUGUCCAGGUGUAACCUGUCUGUACCGUAACUCAGUCAUGUAGUGUCCAGGUGUAACCUGUCUGUACUGUAACUCAG